GCACAAGCGGUGGAUGAUGUGGUUUAAUUCGAUGCAACGCGAAAACCUUACCCACCUUUGACAUGUACAGAAUCCUUUAGAGAUAGAGGAGUGCUCGAAAGAGAGCCGUAACACAGGUGCUGCAUGGCUGUCGUCAGCUCGUGUCGUGAGAUGUUGGGUUAAGUCCCGCAACGAGCGCAACCCUUGUCAUUAGUUGCUACAUUCAGUUGGGCACUCUAAUGAGACUGCCGGUGACAAACCGGAGGAAGGUGGGGAUGACGUCAAGUCCUCAUGGCCCUUAUAGGUGGGGCUACACACGUCAUACAAUGGAUGGUACAAAGGGUCGCCAACCCGCGAGGGGGAGCCAAUCCCAUAAAGCCAUUCGUAGUCCGGAUCGCAGUCUGCAACUCGACUGCGUGAAGUCGGAAUCGCUAGUAAUCGUGGAUCAGAAUGUCACGGUGAAUACGUUCCCGGGUCUU
rnacentral:rRNA from 1 species